GCCAGAUCCAGUUCCAAGUGCCGAACCGAACGCGGAGCCAGGAGAUGCAGUCUCACUCUGUGGCCCAGGCUGGAGUGCAGUGGCGUGAUCUUGGCUCACUGCAACCUCCAUCUCCUGAGUUCAAGCAAUUCUCCUGUCUCAGCCUCCUAAAUAGUUGGAAUUACAGGCAAGCACCACCACGCUCAGCUACAGGAAUUUAGCCAAUUCAGAGGAAAUCUUCCCCAUAAUUAUGGAACUUUCUUACAGAUUUUACCAAGUCUGGUCAACCCAAUAAGAAAAAGACUGAAAUAACAACAACAACUUCAACAAAUAAAAAAAAACAGUUAAGCUAAAUAAACAGAUGAUUGCAGAAUUUAUGUGAUUACUGGGUACUCUAAUGGUAAGGAGAAAUUAAGACCAGCUAGUUGUUAAUCUUAACUUUUAGUCAUUAAGGAGAAUUUCCAAGACAAAACUGCAAUCCAGCUGCUUACCUAGGAAUACGGCUUAGGCUGAAAACUUCUAUCGUCUUAGAAAUGGGAAUAAACCUCACACUCACCGUCCCUGUUGGAAGCAAGCUGAAACUCCAAAAAAAAAGUUGCCUGUUGUCCAUCAUCAUGGUGAAGCGGCGUCGUUGUCUGGGUUCUGAAGGCUGGGAAGUCCAAGAUUAAGGCGUCAACAGGUCUUGUGUCUGCUGAGGGCUGUCUCCCUGAUUUGCAGAUGUCUGCUUUCUUGCUGUGUCCUCACAUGGGAAAAAGAGAGAGAAUUUGCUGGUAUUCCUUUUUAUAAGGACACUAACCCCAUUCAUGAGGGUCCCACCCUCAUGACCUCGCCUAAACCUAUAACCUCCAAGGACUCCAUUUCCAAAUACCAGCAACCACAUGUGUGAGCUUAGAAGAGGAUCCUUCCCCAGGUGAGCCUUGAGAUGACCCUGGCCUGUGACUUGAUGGCAGCUUUUGAGAGACUGAGCCAGAGGCCUCCAGACUGCUUACUUGUUAAGGUAAGAAGCACCUGUGAGUCUACUACUCAUUGCUUUAACCUGGCCAUAAUUUACAUUUAGCUUUAUAGUCCCCCUACAUUUCAAAACCUUCUCUUCUUCCCACCAAAAGUAACAGUCAUCCCACCACUUUGUUAAUUAACCCAUUUUUAUUUAUGUAUUUUUGUUGCUUCUAUAAUUUUGCCAAUAUAUUUUAUUUCUAACUUUAUAGAAAACAUAUACUAAGCAAUCUUCUUUCCCCACUCAAUAGUAUAUUUCUAAAUAUACUAUUUAGAAAUAUAAUAUAUAUUAUAUUAUAUUUAGAAAUAUAAUAUAUAUUAUAUUAU
rnacentral:lncRNA from 1 species